rnacentral:rRNA from 1 species
GACAGAGGGUGCAAGCGUUGCUCGGAAUCACUGGGCGUAAAGGGCGUGUAGGCGGGAAGGAAAGUCAGAUGUGAAAUCCCUGGGCUCAACCCAGGAACUGCAUUUGAAACUCCCUUUCUUGAGUGCUGGAGAGGAAAGCGGAAUUCCUGGUGUAGAGGUGAAAUUCGUAGAUAUCAGGAGGAACACCGGUGGCGAAGGCGGCUUUCUGGACAGUAACUGACGCUGAGACGCGAAAGCGUGGGGAGCAAACAGG